GAUCCCAGCCUGGCCCUGUUGUGCCCAGUAUGCCCUUCCUCAGCCCCAUGCAGCUGGAGCUGGCAGUGGAUAUUUCAGACACCAAAACGCAUCUUCUACUCUCAUUUCCCUUUGUUGCCAUGUGAUGGAUGAAAGCAGCAGUGACCCCAGUCAGCCACAUCUGCCAGGAUUUGUACAGCUGGACAUGAAGUGCUGAAACCCUGAGAGCCGGGCUCAGCCAGAACUCCCUCCUCUGCUGCCCUCAGUGCUAGGAGCACAGAAACGAAGCAUAAACAGCCUUGUGGUGUUGGAUGCAGGUUUGACCCCAAAUCAAAUGGAGUGGUUUAAAAGCAACACAUUAUCUUUAAACUCCUGCCAAGCAUGGUGUAGUACUUGAGCGCUGGGUUUCAGUUUGAGCUCAUUUCUGAUAACAAGCUGCAGAAAACCAUCCUUUAAAUCCCUUGAGUUAUUACAAAAAAAUGGAAGCCUUCAGAGCGUCGGCUCAUGCUUAUGUCUUGCCCAUGUGCUUAUGCCUGUGGGCCUGGAGAGAUAAUUCACUGCUUUGUGAGCCCCUGGAAAGUCGAGCGAAUCCAGUAUUUCUACAGUUUCUAAAGUGCAACACGUACCAAAAAAGACAGAUUUCAUACUGCCAUGGAGACUUGGCAAGAGUUUAGCUGUAACGUGUUGUCCUGACGCACCUAUUCAUGGGAACAAAUACAGUUGAAGAGGAACGCACCUUAGUUGAGUUAAUUUGAGCUAUCUAAUGCCUUGAAGAUAAAUGAACCGGCAUGGUCACAGGGAAUCCUUAGAGCCUGUCCCAGAACUGGGAAAGACCUGUUCCAAAAAAACUUAGGAAUCUAAAUAAUCCAGUAUGACAUAGACAUUUCAGCAACCAGCUGCCUUUGCAGUGUGGCCCUCAAACCUGACAGCAGUGCAGUGUGGGAACCAGCACCAUGCAUCUGUAACAAGUGAUGUCUUUGAGGGGGGGGAGGCUAGCUCUCAUUUUACCUGCUGCCCUGCUGUUUAUCAGCUCUGUGUGGAAAAGCCCUGCAUGUAAGACCUCUAGCAACAGCAAGUAACUGCCCGCUGGAAAUGAAGGAUUCUCCUCCAUGCUUUGCAUGACUCUGAUCAAGAGGACAGUGAUGAGCAAUCACUUGUGACUCUCACUUGACCUCCACCCUACAGGAAUAUGAACUCUAUGUAGAAGUCCACCUGGAGAGGAGAGCAAGCAUUUCCCAACGCAGAGGGGGAACCAUGACCGUAUGAAGGAAGUAAUGGCUAGAAGACUGGAAGUGCCUAGAAAACAUCAAUGUGGAGACACUGAAACUGUGUUACUUCCCAGCUUACCCCAGCUUAUCUGCUAUCCAUCACUUUGCGUUAUCUUCAGAUAUGGCUGAUCUGGCGAGAAUGGAAAUGCCUAGGAAACAUCAUCGUGGAGACACUGAAACUGCAUUUCACAGGAAGGAGCUCCCUGGGCCAUGAAAUAGACAAUCUUUCACAUUCACAGUGGCUAUUUGCAGCACAAAUGUCACAUCAAGGAGUGGCCACAGAGCUCUGGAAGUCCUGAGCACCAUGAGCCACAGCGGGGAUGAAGCUGAGGGUUUCCCAGCUCCUGGCUGGGGCACCAGGCAGAGACAUGCAGCAAGACUCAAAGCUUUCCUGCCCAGCUGCACUGGAGUAUCAGGUGUGGCCCUUCUGGGUUCGUCUUCAGAUUUUCUCUGCAACACCGCAAAACGGACACUGACUUUUGGCCUGACCGAUGACACUUGCUCGUGAUUCCUGGAGCCGAGGCUUGGGAAAACAGCCAGUGUACUGAGAUCCUCUGAAAUCAAGAAGAAUCCUUGGGGUCCCAUUUCUGCCCGACACGUCCCCUGGGCUCUGCCGUCAGCCUCACUGCAGGCAGUUCAGGAUGCAGAGUACAACAAAGAGCACCUGCCAUGACCCUCCAGCCCCACACGGAAACUUGUCCUCACAUGGGGCGGCGCAGCUAAGGAGGAGAAGCUUACAGGCCGCAGAGGACUGAGAGGGAAC